rnacentral:rRNA from 1 species
GACAGAGGGUGCAAACCUUGUUCGGAAUUACUGGGCGUAAAGCGCAUGUAGGCGGCCGCGUAGGUCGGAUGUGAAAGCCCUCGGCUCAACCAAGGAAGUGCAUUCGAAACCACACGGCUAGAGUCCCGGAGAGGAAAGUGGAAUUCUUGGUGUAGAGGUGAAAUUCGUAGAUAUCAGGAGGAACACCGGUGGCGAAAGCGGCUUUCUGGACGAGGACUGACGCUGAGAUGCGAAAGUGUGGGGAGCAAACAGG